rnacentral:rRNA from 1 species
CUGACCGAUAGUGAACCAGUACCGUGAGGGAAAGGCGAAAAGAACCCCGGCGAGGGGAGUGAAAAAGAACCUGAAACCGUGUACGUACAAGCAGUGGGAGCACGCUUCGGCGUGUGACUGCGUACCUUUUGUAUAAUGGGUCAGCGACUUAUAUUCUGUAGCAAGGUUAACCGAAUAGGGGAGCCGAAGGGAAACCGAGUCUUAACUGGGCGUUAAGUUGCAGGGUAUAGACCCGAAACCCGGUGAUCUAGCCAUGGGCAGGUUGAAGGUUGGGUAACACUAACUGGAGGACCGAACCGACUAAUGUUGAAAAAUUAGCGGAUGACUUGUGGCUGGGGGUGAAAGGCCAAUCAAACCGGGAGAUAGCUGGUUCUCCCCGAAAGCUAUUUAGGUAGCGCCUCGUGAAUUCAUCUCCGGGGGUAGAGCACUGUUUCGGCAAGGGGGUCAUCCCGACUUACCAACCCGAUGCAAACUGCGAAUACCGGAGAAUGUUAUCACGGGAGACACACGGCGGGUGCUAACGUCCGUCGUGAAGAGGGAAACAACCCAGACCGCCAGCUAAGGUCCCAAAGUCAUGGUUAAGUGGGAAACGAUGUGGGAAGGCCCAGACAGCCAGGAUGUUGGCUUAGAAGCAGCCAUCAUUUAAAGAAAGCGUAAUAGCUCACUGGUCGAGUCGGCCUGCGCGGAAGAUGUAACGGGGCUAAACCAUGCACCGAAGCUGCGGCAGCGACACUAUGUGUUGUUGGGUAGGGGAGCGUUCUGUAAGCCUGUGAAGGUGUACUGUGAGGUAUGCUGGAGGUAUCAGAAGUGCGAAUGCUGACAUAAGUAACGAUAAAGCGGGUGAAAAGCCCGCUCGCCGGAAGACCAAGGGUUCCUGUCCAACGUUAAUCGGGGCAGGGUGAGUCGACCCCUAAGGCGAGGCCGAAAGGCGUAGUCGAUGGGAAACAGGUUAAUAUUCCUGUACUUGGUGUUACUGCGAAGGGGGGACGGAGAAGGCUAUGUUGGCCGGGCGACGGUUGUCCCGGUUUAAGCGUGUAGGCUGAUUUUCCAGGCAAAUCCGGAAAAUCAAGGCUGAGGCGUGAUGACGAGGCACUACGGUGCUGAAGCAACAAAUGCCCUGCUUCCAGGAAAAGCCUCUAAGCAUCAGGUAACAUCAAAUCGUACCCCAAACCGACACAGGUGGUCAGGUAGAGAAUACCAAGGCGCUUGAGAGAACUCGGGUGAAGGAACUAGGCAAAAUGGUGCCGUAACUUCGGGAGAAGGCACGCUGAUAUGUAGGUGAAGCGACUUGCUCGUGGAGCUGAAAUCAGUCGAAGAUACCAGCUGGCUGCAACUGUUUAUUAAAAACACAGCACUGUGCAAACACGAAAGUGGACGUAUACGGUGUGACGCCUGCCCGGUGCCGGAAGGUUAAUUGAUGGGGUUAGCGGUAACGCGAAGCUCUUGAUCGAAGCCCCGGUAAACGGCGGCCGUAACUAUAACGGUCCUAAGGUAGCGAAAUUCCUUGUCGGGUAAGUUCCGACCUGCACGAAUGGCGUAAUGAUGGCCAGGCUGUCUCCACCCGAGACUCAGUGAAAUUGAACUCGCUGUGAAGAUGCAGUGUACCCGCGGCAAGACGGAAAGACCCCGUGAACCUUUACUAUAGCUUGACACUGAACAUUGAGCCUUGAUGUGUAGGAUAGGUGGGAGGCUUUGAAGUGUGGACGCCAGUCUGCAUGGAGCCGACCUUGAAAUACCACCCUUUAAUGUUUGAUGUUCUAACGUUGGCCCGUUAUCCGGGUUGCGGACAGUGUCUGGUGGGUAGUUUGACUGGGGCGGUCUCCUCCUAAAGAGUAACGGAGGAGCACGAAGGUUGGCUAAUCCUGGUCGGACAUCAGGAGGUUAGUGCAAUGGCAUAAGCCAGCUUGACUGCGAGCGUGACGGCGCGAGCAGGUGCGAAAGCAGGUCAUAGUGAUCCGGUGGUUCUGAAUGGAAGGGCCAUCGCUCAACGGAUAAAAGGUACUCCGGGGAUAACAGGCUGAUACCGCCCAAGAGUUCAUAUCGACGGCGGUGUUUGGCACCUCGAUGUCGGCUCAUCACAUCCUGGGGCUGAAGUAGGUCCCAAGGGUAUGGCUGUUCGCCAUUUAAAGUGGUACGCGAGCUGGGUUUAGAACGUCGUGAGACAGUUCGGUCCCUAUCUGCCGUGGGCGCUGGAGAACUGAGGGGGGCUGCUCCUAGUACGAGAGGACCGGAGUGGACGCAUCACUGGUGUUCGGGUUGUCAUGCCAAUGGCACUGCCCGGUAGCUAAAUGCGGAAGAGAUAAGUGCUGAAAGCAUCUAAGCACGAAACUUGCCCCG